CCCUUAGAUGUUCUGGGCCACACGCGCGCUACACUGACGAAGUCAGCGAGCAUGUCCUACGCCGACAGGUGCGGGGAAUCUUGUCAAACUUCGUCGUGAUGGGGAUUGAUUAUUGAAAUUCUUGAUCAUCAACGAGGAAUUCCUAGUAAGCGCAAGUCAGCAGCUUGCGUUGAUUACGUCCCUGCCCUUUGUACACACCGCCCGUCGCUACUACCGAUUGAAUGGUUUAGUGAGAUCUUCGGAUUGGCGCCACUGCGGCUCAGCAAUGGGCUCGGUGGAUGCCGAAAAGUUGAUCAAACUUGAUCAUUUAGAGGAAGUAAAAGUCGUAACA
rnacentral:rRNA from 1 species